GAUGAACGCUGGCGGCGUGCUUAACACAUGCAAGUCGAACGGAAAGGCUCCUGCUUGCAGGGGUACUCGAGUGGCGAACGGGUGAGUAACACGUGGGUGAUCUGCCCUGCACUUCGGGAUAAGCCUGGGAAACUGGGUCUAAUACCGGAUAGGACGAUGGUUUGGAUGCCAUUGUGGAAAGUUUUUCGGUGUGGGAUGAGCUCGCGGCCUAUCAGCUUGUUGGUGGGGUAAUGGCCUACCAAGGCGUCGACGGGUAGCCGGCCUGAGAGGGUGUACGGCCAAAUGGGGACUGAGAUACGGCCCAGACUCCUACGGGAGGCAGCAGUGGGGAAUAUUGCACAAUGGGCGCAAGCCUGAUGCAGCGACGCCGCGUGGGGGAGGACGGCCUUCGGGUGGUAAACUCCUUUCGCUAGGGACGAAGCGCAAGUGACGGUACCUGGAGAAGAAGCACCGGCUAACUACGU
rnacentral:rRNA from 1 species